rnacentral:rRNA from 1 species
GAUGAACGCUGGCGGCGUGCCUAAUACAUGCAAGUCGAGCGAACAGAUAAGGAGCUUGCUCCUUUGACGUUAGCGGCGGACGGGUGAGUAACACGUGGGUAACCUACCUAUAAGACUGGGAUAACUUCGGGAAACCGGAGCUAAUACCGGAUAACAUUUGGAACCGCAUGGUUCUAAAGUGAAAGAUGGUUUUGCUAUCACUUAUAGAUGGACCCGCGCCGUAUUAGCUAGUUGGUAAGGUAACGGCUUACCAAGGCAACGAUACGUAGCCGACCUGAGAGGGUGAUCGGCCACACUGGAACUGAGACACGGUCCAGACUCCUACGGGAGGCAGCAGUAGGGAAUCUUCCGCAAUGGGCGAAAGCCUGACGGAGCAACGCCGCGUGAGUGAUGAAGGGUUUCGGCUCGUAAAACUCUGUUAUUAGGGAAGGACAAACGUGUAAGUAACUGUGCACGUCUUGACGGUACCUAAUCAGAAAGCCACGGCUAACUACGUG